rnacentral:lncRNA from 1 species
UUUUAUUUUGGGACCGGACACAUUAUUAUAUAAAGAGGAUCUGUGAGUGUUACUUGGUCUUGUAAGCUAUUUUUUUUUUUCGGCAAAAUGUUGUGAGCACCUACCAUAUGCCAGCCACUGUUCUGUGAACUGGUUGUACGGGAGUGAAUGAGAUCAUCUUGAUUUUGAGAAGUUUAUCAUCUACUCAAGGGAAACACAUGUAAUAAACUAUGUUUUAGACAUAACCCCUCAAAACCAAAGCGGAACCUCUUCAAGGAGCUGACAGAUGCAAGCCUGGAGGAGAAAAGCCGGGCAGCAUCAAACUCCUCCCACUGGAGCAGCCUGCUGAGCAUCUCCCUGGCCUUGGCCCCUGGCCAUGCCACACAAGUGUCCAAUGAGCCACUGAUCCUGAAGAACAAGAGAAGACUGACCGCAGACCCCAAAAGGAAGCAGGAAUACAACCUUCGAAGUUGGUGGCCAACAAGAGGUCAGAGGUUGACAAGUACCCACACAGCUCUAAGACUAGUAUCAUGUGGCUACCCAGGACCUGGGAGCAGUGCUGCAGAGCAGGAGCAGGAAAGGGACCAGCUGUUCCCAUAGAACUUCACGUCACAGGUCUGGGAGCCAGGGGGCCUUGGUUCUAGUCCCAACUCUCCCUCUAAGUUGUCUUAUGGCCACAGGUGAAUGAAAUAGCUUCUCUGGCCUCAGCUUCCUCAUAAUUAAAAUGACACAGUUGUGCAAAA